rnacentral:rRNA from 1 species
AAUCAACGCUGGCGGCGUGCCUCAGACAUGCAAGUCGAACGAUUAAGACUUCCUUCGGGAAGUGUAUAAAGUGGCGCACGGGUGAGUAACACGUAAGUAAUCUACCUUCGAGUGGGGAAUAACAUCGGGAAACCGAUGCUAAUACCGCAUAAUGCAGCGGCAUCGCAAGAUGACAGAUGUUAAAGGAGCAAUUCGCUUGAAGAGGAGCUUGCGGCAGAUUAGCUAGUUGGUAAGGUAAUGGCUUACCAAGGCUACGAUCUGUAUCCGGUCUAAGAGGACGGUCGGACACACUGACACUGAAUAACGGGUCAGACUCCUACGGGAGGCAGCAGUCGGGAAUUUUGGGCAAUGGGCGAAAGCCUGACCCAGCAACGCCGCGUGAGGGAUGAAGUAUUUCGGUAUGUAAACCUCGAAAGAAUGGGAAGAAUAAAUGACGGUACCAUUUAUAAGCUCCGGCUAACUACGUGCCAGCCGCCGCGGUAAAAC